rnacentral:rRNA from 1 species
AAUAGAUACCCCGGUAGUCCACACCGUAAACGAUGGGCACUAGGUGUAGGGGGCGUAGCCCUCUGUGCCGCAGUUAACACAUUAAGUGCCCCGCCUGGGGAGUACGAUCGCAAGAUUAAAACUCAAAGGAAUUGACGGGGACCCGCACAAGUAGCGGAGCAUGUGGUUUAAUUCGAAGCAACGCGAAGAACCUUACCUAAGCUUGACAUCCUUUUGACCGAUGCCUAAUCGCAUCUUUCCCUUCGGGGACAGAAGUGACAGGUGGUGCAUGGUUGUCGUCAGCUCGUGUCGUGAGAUGUUGGGUUAAGUCCCGCAACGAGCGCAACCCUUGCCUUUAGUUGCCAGCAUUAAGUUGGGCACUCUAGAGGGACUGCCAGGGAUAACCUGGAGGAAGGUGGGGAUGACGUCAAAUCAUCAUGCCCCUUAUGCUUAGGGCUACACACGUGCUACAAUGGGUGGUACAGAGGGCAGCCAAGUCGUGAGGCGGAGCUAAUCCCUUAAAGCCAUCCUCAGUUCGGAUUGUAGGCCGAAACUCGCCUAC